AGAGUUUGAUCCUGGCUCAGGACGAACGCUGGCGGCGUGCUUAACACAUGCAAGUCGAACGAGGUGCUUGCACCUAGUGGCGAACGGGUGAGUAACACGUGAGCAACCUGCCCUUGGCUCUGGGAUAGCCUCCGGAAACGGGGAUUAAUACCGGACAUGACCCUGGAUUGCAUGAUCUAGGGUGGAAAGUUUUUCGGCCA
rnacentral:rRNA from 1 species